rnacentral:lncRNA from 12 species
CUUCGCUCUAUGAACCAUUUUUAUGAUGUGGCACAAAACCAAUUAAAAAGGUAAAUGUCAUUGCAAGAUGUCUGCAAAUCUUGAAUUGACCCAUUUCUUCAAGCACUGCUUCACCUAAUAGCAAUACAUUUUCAGGUUUGUGCAUCAAAACCCAAAAUCUACUGUCCACUACUCCCAAAAGAUUUCUACAAUAUGUACACGUCAAACUUCAAUAUCCAUUAUGAUCCUCCGCUCCAUGAAUCGUUUUUAUGAAGCAGCACAAAACCAAAAAAAAGGUUUGUGCAUCAAAACUCAAUAUCUACUGUCCACUACUAUCAAAAGAUUUCUGCAAUUCGCUACACUUCAAACUUCCUUCUCCAUUAUGAUUGUCCACUCCAUGAACCGUUUUUAUGAAGCAGCACAAAACCAAUAA